rnacentral:rRNA from 1 species
AAGCGUUAAAGCUCCGGUAAAUAUAGGCCAAUAAUAAAGACAAUACACUCCCCACCCCCUAAAAAUAUUAAGCUAUCCUAUGCGCACAUAGGAGAAACAAUGCUAAAAUCAGUAAUAAGAGGACCCAGGUCCUCUCCUAGCACAUGUGUGAGUCAGAACGGACCAACCACUGACAAUCAACGGACCCUAACAGAGAGAAAAAGAACGAACUACAAAAAACAAGAAAAAACUAUUCAAUACCACAAACCGUUAACCCAACACAGGAGUGCCCGAAGGAAAGACUAAAAGGGGAAGAAGGAACUCGGCAAACACAAGCCCCGCCUGU